rnacentral:rRNA from 1 species
UACGUAGGGUGCGAGCGUUGUCCGGAAUUAUUGGGCGUAAAGGGCUCGUAGGCGGUUUGUCGCGUCGGGAGUGAAAACCCAGGGCUUAACCCUGGGCCUGCUUCCGAUACGGGCAGACUAGAGGUAUGCAGGGGAGAACGGAAUUCCCAGUGUAGCGGUGAAAUGCGCAGAUAUUGGGAAGAACACCAGUGGCGAAGGCGGUUCUCUGGGACGGUACUGACGCUGAGACGCGAAAGCGUGGGGAGCGAACAGG